rnacentral:rRNA from 1 species
CCUACGGGAGGCAGCAGUGAGGAAUAUUGGUCAAUGGGAGAGAUCCUGAACCAGCCAAGCCGCGUGAGGGAAGACGGCCCUAUGGGUUGUAAACCUCUUCUGUCGGAGAACAAAACCCGGGACGUGUCCCGGACUGCGUGUAUCCGAAGAAAAAGCAUCGGCUAACUCCGUGCCAGCAGCCGCGGUAAUACGGAGGAUGCGAGCGUUAUCCGGAUUUAUUGGGUUUAAAGGGUGCGUAGGCGGUCCGUUAAGUCAGCGGUAAAAUUGCGGGGCUCAACCCCGGCGAGCCGUUGAAACUGGCAGUCUUGAGUUGGCGAGAAGUACGCGGAAUGCGCGGUGUAGCGGUGAAAUGCAUAGAUAUCGCGCAGAACUCCGAUUGCGAAGGCAGCAUGCCGGCGCCAGACUGACGCUGAGGCACGAAAGCGUGGGGAUCGAACAGGAUUAGAUACCCCAGUAGUC